AUUGAACGCUGGCGGCAGGCCUAACACAUGCAAGUCGAAUGGUAACAGGAAGCAGCUUGCUGUUUCGCUGACGAGUGGCGGACGGGUGAGUAAUGUCUGGGAAACUGCCUGAUGGAGGGGGAUAACUACUGGAAACGGUAGCUAAUACCGCAUAACGUCGCAAGACCAAAGAGGGGGACCUUCGGGCCUCUUGCCAUCAGAUGUGCCCAGGUGGGAUUAGCUAGUAGGUGGGGUAACGGCUCACCUAGGCGACGAUCCCUAGCUGGUCUGAGAGGAUGACCAGCCACACUGGAACUGAGACACGGUCCAGACUCCUACGGGAGGCAGCAGUGGGGAAUAUUGCACAAUGGGCGCAAGCCUGAUGCAGCCAUGCCGCGUGUAUGAAGAAGGCCUUCGGGUUGUAAAGUACUUUCAGCGGGGAGGAAGGGAGUAAAGUUAAUACCUUUGCUCAUUGACGUUACCCGCAGAAGAAGCACCGGCUAACUCCGU
rnacentral:rRNA from 1 species